rnacentral:tRNA from 1 species
CGGCAUCGGGGUGCCCGGUGCGCAGACGACGGAUACUUCUCCUCCUAAGAGAAAGACCCGGGUUCGAAUCCCGGCCCGCCGA